rnacentral:rRNA from 1 species
ACGCUGGCGGCGUGCCUAAUACAUGCAAGUAGAACGUUGAAAGAGGAGCUUGCUUCUCUGGAUGAGUUGCGAACGGGUGAGUAACGCGUAGGUAACCUGCCUGGUAGCGGGGGAUAACUAUUGGAAACGAUAGCUAAUACCGCAUAAGAGUAGAUGUUGCAUGACAUUUGCUUAAAAGGUGCAAUUGCAUCACUACCAGAUGGACCUGCGUUGUAUUAGCUAGUUGGUGGGGUAACGGCUCACCAAGGCGACGAUACAUAGCCGACCUGAGAGGGUGAUCGGCCACACUGGGACUGAGGCACGGCCCAGACUCCUACGGGAGGCAGCAGUAGGGAAUCUUCGGCAAUGGACGGAAGUCUGACCGAGCAACGCCGCGUGAGUGAAGAAGGUUUUCGGAUCGUAAAGCUCUGUUGUAAGAGAAGAACGAGUGUGAGAGUGGAAAGUUCACACUGUGACGGUAUCUUACCAGAAAGGGACGGCUAACUACGUGCCAGCAGCCGCGGUAAUACGUAGGUCCCGAGCGUUGUCCGGAUUUAUUGGGCGUAAAGCGAGCGCAGGCGGUUAGAUAAGUCUGAAGUUAAAGGCUGUGGCUUAACCAUAGUACGCUUUGGAAACUGUUUAACUUGAGUGCAAGAGGGGAGAGUGGAAUUCCAUGUGUAGCGGUGAAAUGCGUAGAUAUAUGGAGGAACACCGGUGGCGAAAGCGGCUCUCUGGCUUGUAACUGACGCUGAGGCUCGAAAGCGUGGGGAGCAAACAGGAUUAGAUACCCUGGUAGUCCACGCCGUAAACGCUGAGUGCUAGGUGUUAGACCCUUUCCGGGGUUUAGUGCCGCAGCUAACGCAUUAAGCACUCCGCCUGGGGAGUACGACCGCAAGGUUGAAACUCAAAGGAAUUGACGGGGGCCC